UACGUAGGGGGCUAGCGUUGUCCGGAAUCAUUGGGCGUAAAGCGCGUGUAGGCGGCCCGGUAAGUCCGCUGUGAAAGUCGGGGGCUCAACCCUCGGAUGCCGGUGGAUACUGUCGGGCUCGAGUGCGGAAGAGGCGAGUGGAAUUCCUGGUGUAGCGGUGGAAUGCGCAGAUAUCAGGAGGAACACCAAUAGCGAAGGCAGCUCGCUGGGACGGUACUGACGCUAAGGCGCGAAAGCGUGGGGAGCGAACAGG
rnacentral:rRNA from 1 species